AAAUCCUACAAAUCACCUACACUCCACAUCACAUGGUGGCAGUAGAGUACCAAAAAGCUGUUUGUUAACCUCCAAUUAAACAAAACCGAAGAAGAAGAAGAAGAAGUUCGCGCCAGACAGAGUAAGCCACGCCCACCGGAAGAGAUCUGGCGCUAGAAUUUGCCUCCCAGAGCUCACUAGUACAGAUGGAUGUUUCCCAAGAACAGUAACCUCCAGAAGGAUGAGAAGCCGUCCUUGAGAAUGGAGCUGACAUGGCGUUCAGAUGAGGACUCGACUCUCACUUGUGACCACACGAUGGGACAGCUGUUCCUCCAUCAGUGACCGCCUGCAGUCUCAGAAAUCAACGUGUGGAGCAAAAGAGUGAAAACUCAGCGAGCUGAACCUCAGCUCUCUCUGCAGUGUGCCACCUUUUGACUGCAAUGAAUUUAAGACGAUCACAGUUUCCAGUUUCCAAAAAUGUGUUCAAGAAAGAAAAAUCCUCUCCCCUCGGAUAAGGCAAGAAGAAGAUAGAUUCUGAGCUGGAGUCUGUUUGAGCGUCUUUGUGCAUGCAUCAAUCUAAAUGUAGAAAAUGUUGAGGUGUUAUAGAUGUUUGAGGAGGUCAGAGUGACACAGAGAGGUAGAACACUGUGCAUAUUCAUCCAAAGGGGUUUACUUUUUUCUGCAGCAGUAGGAUUAUUUUAACGCUAAGAUGAAACACAUCUGGAAACUUUAUUAUCACUUAAUUCUUGUUUAUGUUUGAGGCAUCAGUGGCGUCUCUGAUGCACAGACGAGCUUCUAUCACCUGAUUUGAAUAUGUUGGUGUUAUGAGCUAAUCCGCUUUGAAGCACUUGAGAUAUCAUACGGUCAAAAUAUGUAAAAGAUUAUGAAACAAUGAAAGUAGUCUUAAGUUAAAGCUCUGAUUUAUUUUGUUCUUCAAAAUAAAACAGUUAAACUACA